rnacentral:rRNA from 1 species
CCUACGGGGGGCAGCAGUGGGGAAUAUUGGACAAUGGGGGGAACCCUGAUCCAGCCAUGCCGCGUGUGUGAAGAAGGCCCUCGGGUUGUAAAGCACUUUCAGUGAGGAAGAACGCCUGGUGGUUAAUACCCAUCAGGAAAGACAUCACUCACAGAAGAAGCACCGGCUAACUCCGUGCCAGCAGCCGCGGUAAUACGGAGGGUGCGAGCGUUAAUCGGAACUACUGGGCGUAAAGCGCGCGUAGGUGGCUUGAUAAGCCGGUUGUGAAAGCCCCGGGCUCAACCUGGGAACGGCAUCCGGAACUGUCAAGCUAGAGUGCAGGAGAGGAAGGUAGAAUUCCCGGUGUAGCGGUGAAAUGCGUAGAGAUCGGGAGGAAUACCAGUGGCGAAGGCGGCCUUCUGGACUGACACUGACACUGAGGUGCGAAAGCGUGGGUAGCAAACAGGAUUAGAUACCCGAGUAGUC